UACGUAGGGCGCAAGCGUUGUCCGGAAUUAUUGGGCGUAAAGAGCUCGUAGGCGGUUUGUCGCGUCUGCUGUGAAAACCUAAGGCUCAACCUUGGGCUUGCAGUGGGUACGGGCAGACUAGAGUGCGGUAGGGGGUGACUGGAAUUCCUGGUGUAGCGGUGGAAUGCGCAGAUAUCAGGAGGAACACCAAUGGGCGAAGGCAGAUCUCUGGGCCGUAACUGACGCUGGAGGAGCGAAAGCAUGGGGAGCGAACAGG
rnacentral:rRNA from 1 species